GAUGAACGCUAGCGGCAGGCCUAAUACAUGCAAGUCGAACGAGAUUAAGAGGCUUGCUUCUUAUGAAAGUGGCGCACGGGUGCGUAACGCGUAUGCAACCUACCUUAAUCAGGGGGAUAGCCCGAAGAAAUUCGGAUUAAGACCGCAUAAAAACACAGGAUAGCAUUAUCCAAUGUUCAAAUAUUUAAAGGAUUAAGAUGGGCAUGCGUGUCAUUAGCUAGUUGGCGGGGUAACGGCCCACCAAGGCGACGAUGACUAGGGGAUCUGAGAGGAUGACCCCCCACACUGGUACUGGGGCACGGACCAGACUCCUACGGGAGGCAGCAGUAAGGAAUAUUUGUCAAUGGAGGGGACUCUGAACCAGCCAUGCCGCGUGCAGGAAGACAGCCCUCUGGGUCGUAAACUGCUUUUAUUCGGGAAUAAACCUUUCUACGUGUAGGAAGCUGAAUGUACCGAAGGAAUAAGGAUCGGCUAACUCCGUG
rnacentral:rRNA from 1 species